rnacentral:rRNA from 1 species
ACUACGGGUGGCAGCAGUGGGGAAUAUUGGGCAAUGGGCGCAAGCCUGACCCAGCAACGCCGCGUGAAGGCAGAAGGCUUUCGGGUUGUAAACUUCUUUUGUCAGGGACGAAGCAAGUGACGGUACCUGACGAAUAAGCCACGGCUAACUACGUGCCAGCAGCCGCGGUAAUACGUAGGUGGCAAGCGUUAUUCGGAUUUACUGGGUGUAAAGGGCGUGUAGGCGGGACUGCAAGUCAGAUGUGAAAACCACGGGCUCAACCUGUGGCCUGCAUUUGAAACAGUAGUUGUUGAGUACUGGGGAGGCCGACGGAAGUCCUAGUGUAGCGGGGAAAUGCGUAGAUAUUAGGAGGAACACCAGUGGCGAAGGCGGUCUGCUGGACAGCAACUGACGCUGAGGCGCGAAAGCGUGGGGAGCAAACAGGAUUAGAUACCCCGGUAGUC